rnacentral:rRNA from 1 species
AAAGGAGGGGGCCGGGCCUUAAUCAUGCAAGUCGAGCGGGUGAACACGGAAGCUUGCUCUGUGGGAUCAGUGGCGAACGGGUUUAGUAACACGUGAGCAACCUGCCCCUGACUCUGGGAUAAGCGCUGGAAACGGCGUCUAAUACUGGAUAUGUGACGUGACCGCAUGGUCUGCGUUUGGAAAGAUUUUUCGGUUGGGGAUGGGCUCGCGGCCUAUCAGCUUGUUGGUGAGGUAAUGGCUCACCAAGGCGUCGACGGGUAGCCGGCCUGAGAGGGUGACCGGCCACACUGGGACUGAGACACGGCCCAGACUCCUACGGGAGGCAGCAGUGGGGAAUAUUGCACAAUGGGCGAAAGCCUGAUGCAGCAACGCCGCGUGAGGGAUGACGGCCUUCGGGUUGUAAACCUCUUUUAGCAGGGAAGAAGCGAAAGUGAUUGUACCUGCAGAAAAAGCGCCGGCUAACUACGUGCCAGCAGCCGCGGUAAUACGUAGGGCGCAAGCGUUAUCCGGAAUUAUUGGGCGUAAAUAGCUCGUAGGCGGUUUGUCGCGUCUGCUGUGAAAUCCCGAGGCUCAACCUCGGGCCUGCCAGUGGGAUACCGGGCAGACU